UUCUACAGCUCAGUUGGUAGAGCAUGAAAGUAUUAAUUUCAGGGUCAUGGGUUUGAGUCUCACGUUGGGCAAAA